AUUGAACGCUGGCGGAAUGCUUUACACAUGCAAGUCGAACGGCAGCACGGACUUCGGUCUGGUGGCGAGUGGCGAACGGGUGAGUAAUGUAUCGGAACGUGCCCAGUCGUGGGGGAUAACGUAGUGAAAAUUACGCUAAUACCGCAUACGAUCUAUGGAUGAAAGCGGGGGAUCGUAAGACCUCGCGCGAUUGGAGCGGCCGAUAUCAGAUUAGGUAGUUGGUGGGGUAAAGGCCCACCAAGCCAACGAUCUGUAGCUGGUCUGAGAGGACGACCAGCCACACUGGAACGGAGACACGGUCCAGACUCCUACGGGAGGCAGCAGUGGGGAAUUUUGGACAAUGGGCGAAAGCCUGAUCCAGCCAUUCCGCGUGCAGGAUGAAGGCCCUCGGGUUGUAAACUGCUUUUGUACAGAACGAAAAGGUUUCUACUGAUACUAGGAGCUCAUGACGGUACUGUAAGAAUAAGCACCGGCUAACUACGUGCCAGCCGCCGCCGUAA
rnacentral:rRNA from 1 species